rnacentral:rRNA from 1 species
CCUACGGGUGGCAGCAGUGAGGAAUAUUGGUCAAUGGGCGGGAGCCUGAACCAGCCAAGCCGCGUGAGGGAAGAAGGUACAGCGUAUCGUAAACCUCUUUUGUCAGGGAACAAAGGCGGGGACGUGUCCCCGGAUGAGUGUACCUGAAGAAAAAGCAUCGGCUAACUCCGUGCCAGCAGCCGCGGUAAUACGGAGGAUGCGAGCGUUAUCCGGAUUUAUUGGGUUUAAAGGGUGCGCAGGCGGUCUGUUAAGUCAGCGGUCAAAGCCCGGGGCUCAACCCCGGCCCGCCGUUGAAACUGGCAGUCUCGAGUUGGAGAGAAGUAUGCGGAAUGCGCGGUGUAGCGGUGAAAUGCAUAGAUAUCGCGCAGAACUCCGAUUGCGAAGGCAGCAUGCCGGCUCCACACUGACGCUGAGGCACGAAAGCGUGGGUAUCGAACAGGAUUAGAUACCCUAGUAGUC